UACGUAGGGGCAAGCGUUGUCCGGAAUCAUUGGGCGUAAAGAGCGUGUAGGCGGCUUGGUAAGUCCGCUGUGAAAGUCCAGGGCUCAACCCUGGAAUGCCGGUGGAAACUGUCAGGCUCGAGUCCGGAAGAGGCGAGUGGAAUUCCUGGUGUAGCGGUGAAAUGCGCAGAUAUCAGGAGGAACACCAUGGCGAAGGCAGCUCGCUGGGACGGUACUGACGCUGAGACGCGAAAGCGUGGGGGAGCAAACAGG
rnacentral:rRNA from 1 species